rnacentral:rRNA from 1 species
CGCCCAGACUCCUACGGGAGGCAGCAGUGGGGAAUAUUGCACAAUGGGGGAAACCCUGGUGCAGCGACGCCGCGUGAGCGAGGAAGUAUUUCGGUAUGUAAAUCUCUGUCAGCAGGGAAGAAGAAUGACGGUACCUGAAGAAGAAGCACCGGCUAAAUACGUGCCAGCAGCCGCGGUAAUACGUAUGGUGCAAGCGUUAUCCGGAUUUACUGGGUGUAAAGGGAGCGCAGGCGGUUCUGCAAGUCUGAUGUGAAAGCCCGGGGCUCAACCGCGGGACUGCAUUUGGAACUGUGUAGCUGGAGUGUCGGAGAGGCAGGCGGAAUUCCUAGUGUAGCGGUGAAAUGCGUAGAUAUUAGGAGGAACACCAGUGGCGAAGGCGGCCUGCUGGACGAUGACUGACGUUGAGGCUCGAAAGCGUGGGGAGCAAACAGGAUUAGAUACCCUUGUA